CAGGAGUGGAGCCUGCGGCU
rnacentral:ncRNA from 3 species